rnacentral:rRNA from 1 species
GGACGAACGCUGGCGGCGUGCCUAACACAUGCAAGUCGAGCGGAGAUAUAUUGAAGGUUUACCGGAUAUAUAUCUUAGCGGCGGACGGGUGAGUAACGCGUGGGCAACCUGCCUUAUACAGGGGGAUAACACAGGGAAACUUGUGCUAAUACCGCAUAAUAUCAUUGUAUGGCAUCAUACGAUGAUCAAAGGAGCAAUCCGGUAUGAGAUGGGCCCGCGUCCGAUUAGCUAGUUGGUGGGGUAACAGCUCACCAAGGCGACGAUCGGUAGCCGAACUGAGAGGUUGAUCGGCCACAUUGGGACUGAGACACGGCCCAGACUCCUACGGGAGGCAGCAGUGGGGAAUAUUGCGCAAAUGGGGGAAACCCUGACGCAGCAACGCCGCGUGAAGGAUGAAGGCCUUCGGGUUGUAAACUUCUUUGAUUGGGGAAGAAGAAAGUGACUGUACCCAAAAAACAAGCCACGGCUAACUACGUGCCAGCCGCCGC